rnacentral:rRNA from 1 species
UACAGAGGGUGCAAACGUUGCUCGGAAUUAUUGGGCGUAAAGCGCACGUAGGCGGUUCGUUAAGUCAGAUGUGAAAGCCCCGGGCUCAACUCGGGAAGUGCAUUUGAAACUGGCGGGCUUGAAUAUGGAAGAGGGUCGCGGAAUUCCCGGUGUAGAGGUGAAAUUCGUAGAUAUCAGGAGGAACACCGGUGGCGAAGGCGGGACUCUGGGCCGAUACUGACGCUGAGGAGCGAAAGCGUGGGGAGCAAACAGG